rnacentral:ribozyme from 1 species
UUGCAAGUUCAAGGCCACAGCAGAAGCAUUCACUGCGCGGCCUGUCAGAUUCUGGCGAUAUCUGCAAAUUCUGCU